rnacentral:rRNA from 1 species
UGGGGAAUAUUGGGCAAUGGGCGCAAGCCUGACCCAGCAACGCCGCGUGAGGGAAGAAGGCCUUCGGGUUGUAAACCUCUGUCCUUGGUGACGAAAAAAAUGACGGUAGCCAAGGAGGAAGCCCCGGCUAACUACGUGCCAGCAGCCGCGGUAAUACGUAGGGGGCGAGCGUUGUCCGGAAUUACUGGGCGUAAAGGGUGCGUAGGUGGCCUUUUAAGUUGGAUGUGAAAUACCCGGGCUUAACUUGGGGGGUGCAUCUAAUACUGGAGGGCUAGAGUGCAGGAGAGGGAAGCGGAAUUCCUAGUGUAGCGGUGAAAUGCGUAGAUAUUAGGAGGAACACCAGUGGCGAAGGCGGCUUUCUGGACUGUAACUGACACUGAGGCACGAAAGCGUGGGGAG